rnacentral:rRNA from 1 species
GACGAACGCUGGCGGCGUGCUUAACACAUGCAAGUCGAACGGAAAGGCCCUGCUUUUGUGGGGUGCUCGAGUGGCGAACGGGUGAGUAACACGUGAGUAACCUGCCCUUGACUUUGGGAUAACUUCAGGAAACUGGGGCUAAUACCGGAUAGGAGCUCCUGCUGCAUGGUGGGGGUUGGAAAGUUUCGGCGGUUGGGGAUGGACUCGCGGCUUAUCAGCUUGUUGGUGGGGUAGUGGCUUACCAAGGCUUUGACGGGUAGCCGGCCUGAGAGGGUGACCGGGCACAUUGGGACUGAGAGACGGCCCAGACGGCUACGGGAGGCAGCAGGGGGGAAUAUUGCACAAUGGGCGGAAGCCUGAUGCAGAAACGCCGGGUGCGGGAUGACGGCCUUCGGGUUGUAAACCGCUUUCGCCUGUGACGAAGCGUGAGUGACGGUAAUGGGUAAAGAAGCACCGGCUAACUACGUG